rnacentral:sRNA from 1 species
AUUGACAGCGCGCAGUACCUCCUCCCGCUGCGCAAGCCAAUCGAUCGGUUCCGCUCCUCCUCCCAAGGGGCCGAUCAAGAGACCCCGACGCCUCCUCCCGGCUCGGGGUCUUUUU